rnacentral:rRNA from 1 species
AAUAGCGGAGGAAAAGAAACCAACAGGGAUUGCCCUAGUAACGGCGAGUGAAGCGGCAACAGCUCAAAUUUGAAAUCUGGCCCCCGGGUCCGAGUUGUAAUUUGUAGAGGAUGCUUUUGGUGCGGUACCUUCCGAGUUCCCUGGAACGGGACGCCAUAGAGGGUGAGAGCCCCGUCUGGUUGGACGCCAAUCCUUUGUAAAGCUCCUUCGACGAGUCGAGUAGUUUGGGAAUGCUGCUCUAAAUGGGAGGUAUAUGUCUUCUAAAGCUAAAUAUUGGCCAGAGACCGAUAGCGCACAAGUAGAGUGAUCGAAAGAUGAAAAGCACUUUGAAAAGAGAGUUAAAAAGUACGUGAAAUUGUUGAAAGGGAAGCGCUCAUGACCAGACUUGGGCCCGGUUGAUCAUCCAGGGUUCUCCCUGGUGCACUCUUCCGGCCCAGGCCAGCAUCAGUUCGCCGUGGGGGACAAAGGCUUCGGGAAUGUGGCUCCUCCGGGAGUGUUAUAGCCCGCUGCGUAAUACCCUGUGGCGGACUGAGGUUCGCGCAUCUGCAAGGAUGCUGGCGUAAUGGUCAUCAGCGACCCGUCUUGAAACACGGACCAAGGAGUCGUCUUCGUAUGCGAGUGUUCGGGUGUUAAACCCCUACGCGGAAUGAAAGUGAACGCAGGUGAGAGCUUCGGCGCAUCAUCGACCGAUCCUGAUGUUCUCGGAUGGAUUUGAGUAAGAGCAUACGGGGCCGGACCCGAAAGAAGGUGAACUAUGCCUGUAUAGGGUGAAGCCAGAGGAAACUCUGGUGGAGGCUCGCAGCGGUUCUGACGUGCAAAUCGAUCGUCAAAUAUGG